rfam:Octopus bimaculoides Scaffold59487_contig_16, whole genome shotgun sequence.
GUGUGUAUGUGUGUGAGUGUGUAUGUGUGUGAGUGUGUAUACAUACGAAUAUAUACAUACAUAUUCACACACAUAUAUAUGCUUUGAUAUAUAGGUAUAUUACACAUGUAUUACGUACGUUUGUAU